GAUGAACGCUGGCGGCGUGCCUAAUACAUGCAAGUCGAGCGAACAGACGAGGAGCUUGCUCCUCUGACGUUAGCGGCGGACGGGUGAGUAACACGUGGAUAACCUACCUAUAAGACUGGGAUAACUUCGGGAAACCGGAGCUAAUACCGGAUAAUAUAUUGAACCGCAUGGUUAAAUAGUGAAAGACGGUUUUGCUGUCACUUAUAGAUGGAUCCGCGCCGCAUUAGCUAGUUGGUAAGGUAACGGCUUACCAAGGCGACGAUGCGUAGCCGACCUGAGAGGGUGAUCGGCCACACUGGAACUGAGACACGGUCCAGACUCCUACGGGAGGCAGCAGUAGGGAAGCUUCCGCAAUGGGCGAAAGCCUGACGGAGCAACGCCGCGUGAGUGAUGAAGGUCUUCGGAUCGUAAAACUCUGUUAUUAGGGAAGAACAAAUGUGUAAGUAACUAUGCACGUCUUGACGGUACCUAAUCAGAAAGCCGCGGCUAACUACGUG
rnacentral:rRNA from 1 species